rnacentral:rRNA from 1 species
AUGCAGUCGAACGCGAGAUGAGGAGCUUGCUCUUCAAAUCGAGUGGCGAACGGGUGAGUAACGCGUGAGGAACCUGCCUCAAAGAGGGGGACAACAGUUGGAAACGACUGCUAAUACCGCAUAAGCCCACGGCUCGGCAUCGAGCAGAGGGAAAAGGAGCAAUCCGCUUUGAGAUGGCCUCGCGUCCGAUUAGCUAGUUGGUGAGGUAACGGCCCACCAAGGCGACGAUCGGUAGCCGGACUGAGAGGUUGAACGGCCACAUUGGGACUGAGACACGGCCCAGACUCCUACGGGAGGCAGCAGUGGGGAAUAUUGCACAAUGGGGGAAACCCUGAUGCAGCGACGCCGCGUGGAGGAAGAAGGUCUUCGGAUUGUAAACUCCUGUUGUUGAGGAAGAUAAUGACGGUACUCAACAAGGAAGUGACGGCUAACUACGUGCCAGCAGCCGCGGUAAAACGUAGGUCACAAGCGUUGUCCGGAAUUACUGGGUGUAAAGGGAGCGCAGGCGGGAGAACAAGUUGGAAGUGAAAUCCAUGGGCUCAACCCAUGAACUGCUUUCAAAACUGUUUUUCUUGAGUAGUGCAGAGGUAGGCGGAAUUCCCGGUGUAGCGGUGGAAUGCGUAGAUAUCGGGAGGAACACCAGUGGCGAAGGCGGCCUACUGGGCACCAACUGACGCUGAGGCUCGAAAGUGUGGGUAGCAAACAGGAUUAGAUACCCUGGUAGUCCA